rnacentral:rRNA from 1 species
GACGGAGGGUGCAAGCGUUGUUCGGAUUGACUGGGCGUAAAGGGCGUGUAGGCGGUUGCCCAAGUCCGAUGUGAAAGCCCGAGGCUUAGCCUCGGAAGUGCAUCGGAAACUAGGCAGCUGGAGCGCGAUAGAGGAGGGUAGAAUUCCUGGUGUAGCGGUGAAAUGCGUAGAUAUCAGGAGGAACACCGGUGGCGAAGGCGGUUCUCUGGGCAUUACCUGACGCUGAGGAGCGAAAGUGUGGGGAGCGAACAGG